UACGGGGGGGCAAGCGUUGUUCGGAAUUACUGGGCGUAAAGGGCUCGUAGGCGGCCAACUAAGUCAGACGUGAAAUCCCUCGGCUUAACCGGGAACUGCGUCUGAUACUGGAUGGCUUGAAUCCGGGAGAGGGAUGCGGAAUUCCAGGUGUAGCGGUGAAAUGCGUAGAUAUCUGGAGGAACACCGGUGGCCGAAGGCGG
rnacentral:rRNA from 1 species